UGACGAGUGGCGGACGGGUGAGUAAUGUCUGGGAAACUGCCUGAUGGAGGGGGAUAACUACUGGAAACGGUAGCUAAUACCGCAUAACGUCGCAAGACCAAAGAGGGGGACCUUCGGGCCUCUUGCCAUCGGAUGUGCCCAGAUGGGAUUAGCUAGUAGGUGGGGUAACGGCUCACCUAGGCGACGAUCCCUAGCUGGUCUGAGAGGAUGACCAGCCACACUGGAACUGAGACACGGUCCAGACUCCUACGGGAGGCAGCAGUGGGGAAUAUUGCACAAUGGGCGCAAGCCUGAUGCAGCCAUGCCGCGUGUAUGAAGAAGGCCUUCGGGUUGUAAAGUACUUUCAGCGGGGAGGAAGGGAGUAAAGUUAAUACCUUUGCUCAUUGACGUUACCCGCAGAAGAAGCACCGGCUAACUCCGUGCCAGCAGCCGCGGUAAUACGGAGGGUGCAAGCGUUAAUCGGAAUUACUGGGCGUAAAGCGCACGCAGGCGGUUUGUUAAGUCAGAUGUGAAAUCCCCGGGCUCAACCUGGGAACUGCAUCUGAUACUGGCAAGCUUGAGUCUCGUAGAGGGGGGUAGAAUUCCAGGUGUAGCGGUGAAAUGCGUAGAGAUCUGGAGGAAUACCGGUGGCGAAGGCGGCCCCCUGGACGAAGACUGACGCUCAGGUGCGAAAGCGUGGGGAGCAAACAGGAUUAUAUACCCUGGUAGUCCACGCCGUAAACGAUGUCGACUUGGAGGUUGUGCCCUUGAGGCGUGGCUUCCGGAGCUAACGCGUUAAGUCGACCGCCUGGGGAGUACGGCCGCAAGGUUAAAACUCACAUGAAUUGACGGGGGCCCGCACAAGCGGUGGAGCAUGUGGUUUAAUUCUAUGCAACGCGAAGAACCUUACCUGGUCUUGAC
rnacentral:rRNA from 1 species